rnacentral:rRNA from 1 species
GGCCGUAACUAUAACGGUCCUAAGGUAGCGAAAUUCCUAGUCGGGUAAAUUCCGUCCCGCUUGAAUGGUGUAACCAUCUCUUGACUGUCUCGGCUAUAGACUCGGUGAAAUCCAGGUACGGGUGAAGACACCCGUUAGGCGCAACGGGACGGGAAGACCCCGUGAAGCUUUACUGUAGCUUAAUAUUGAUCAAAACACCACCAAUGUAGAGAAAA